UACAGAGGUCCCAAGCGUUGUUCGGAUUCACUGGGCGUAAAGGGUGCGUAGGUGGUGGGGUAAGUCUGAUGUGAAAUCUCCGAGCUCAACUCGGAAAUGGCAUUGGAAACUACCUUGCUCGAGGGUUGGAGGGGGGACUGGAAUGCUUGGUGUAGCAGUGAAAUGCGUAGAUAUCAAGCGGAACACCAGUGGCGAAGGCGAGUCCCUGGACAACUCCUGACACUGAGGCACGAAAGCUAGGGGAGCAAACAGG
rnacentral:rRNA from 1 species